UGCCUUAGGAGCGUCUUUUUAAAAAUAUUGCUGAAAAGAGGAUAUUUAUGAGGCUUUAUAGACCGGCAUGGCAGUGGAUCACAGAACAUGAGGGACACAAAGGCAAGAAUGAUGAAACCAAGAAAAAGACUGAGUGCGACAGAAACUUGGAGUAGAGGAUGUGCACAAAGAUAUAUUCUUGCAUUUUCUCUUCCUGUUGCUAGAUCUGCCAGUGAUCUGAUUGAUUUCAAAGUAUUUUAUCUGUAUGAUGUGUGCAAUACUGCUUUAAAA